GCCGGGGUGGCAGAGCGGACAAGCUCUGGGCCGUGCUCCAGCGGCAGAGGUCCAUACGCGGCAGGCUCGAGACCUGUUGUCCCUUCCAGGGACGCUUGGGUUCAAAUCCCAACCCCGGCGCCA
rnacentral:tRNA from 1 species